rnacentral:rRNA from 1 species
UGGAUGCGAUAAGCGCUGAAAGCAUCUAAGCGCGAAGCCAACUCCAAGAUUAGAUCUCCCAAAUAGACUUAGGUCUGGAGUAAGGUCCCCGGGAGACUACCGGGUAGAUAGGCCGCAGGUGUAAGGCGGGUGACCGCCUCAGCUGAGCGGUACUAAUCGACCGAGGACUUGACCCACA